rnacentral:rRNA from 1 species
UACGUAGGUCCCGAGCGUUGUCCGGAUUUAUUGGGCGUAAAGCGAGCGCAGGUGGUUUAUUAAGUCUGGUGUAAAAGGCAGUGGCUCAACCAUUGUAUGCAUUGGGAACUGGUAGACUUGAGUGCAGGAGAGGAGAGUGGAAUUCCAUGUGUAGCGGUGAAAUGCGUAGAUAUUAGGAGGAACACCAGUUGCGAAGGCGGCUCUCUGGACUGUAACUGACACUGAGGCACGAAAGCGUGGGGAGCAAACAGG